GACGAACGCUGGCGGCGUGCUUAACACAUGCAAGUCGAGCGGUAAGGCCCUUUCGGGGGUACACGAGCGGCGAACGGGUGAGUAACACGUGGGUGACCUGCCCUCAGCUCUGGGAUAAGCCUGGGAAACCGGGUCUAAUACCGGAUAUGACUCCAUGACGCAUGUUGUGGGGUGGAAAGCCUUGUGCGGCUGAGGAUGGGCCCGCGGCCUAUCAGCUUGUUGGUGGGGUGAUGGCCUACCAAGGCGACGACGGGUAGCCGGCCUGAGAGGGCGACCGGCCACACUGGGACUGAGACACGGCCCAGACUCCUACGGGAGGCAGCAGUGGGGAAUCUUGCGCAAUGGGCG
rnacentral:rRNA from 1 species